ACCCAUCACCGUCUGGUGGUGAGCUGGAUCAGACGGCAGGGAAAACUGACAGACAGAUCCGGUAGGCCCAAGCGCAUAGUGAGGGCGUGCUGGGAACAAGCGUCAGAGGACCCUGUCCGGAAUGAUUUUAACUCCCACCUUCGUGAGAACUCCUCCCAUGUCCCGGAGGAGGUAGGAGACAUGGAGUCUGAAUGAAAAUUUGAUUUUAAAAGCUUUGCUAUGCCUACAUGCUUCUGUAAUAGAACGUUUAAGAAUGUUUAACUGCUCAAUAGCCUAUGCAAGAAAGCGGCACAUUCCAGGCUAUAGUUUGCUCUCUGUAUGUCCCCUUUUGUGCCAGCCUGUUCCCAUGAGAUAUCAGAGAAAUGUGGCUUACGCAGACUCACGUAAAGCCCAGAGGAUGUGUGUAACUGUUUCACGUAAGAAAGGAGAUCAACUGGUGACAGUGGACGUGUGUGAUGAGAGAUUGAGGGGCACAGUGACACGCCUGGAAUGUUCAAAAAAUAACAUGUAUUCUGCCUAUACUUACAAAAAUCUGCCCUAGAAUAUGUAUAAAUAUCUGCUUGCCUGGCUGCUCUGGUGUGACUCUGCGCACACGAAUACAUAAGGUUUUCUGCAACUCAAGUGACCGAGUGAUCUAUCUGUAUGACAAUUCUCAUUUUUCCUACCACAGUUCUGGGGGCUCGUCCGGGAUCACGACCUUCUGCCGGGACCGACCCGUGUGCCGCGAGGAACCCGACUAAGGGGGCAACCCUCCUAGGUCUAGGGGACCUGCUGGUGACCGAGCCCGAGCAAAAGUUAGGGCUGGCCCGUCCUGCGGUGCACCGAUCGACUCGGACAGAAUACGUGACACAGCUGCAGGUGUCGGGGAAGGCCGCUUUGUCUCCCGGGCGCCUGAAGGUAGUGCACCCCACCGACGCUGGUGUUUCUCCAGCGAAGGCUCUGAACGUCGAGGGAGCACGAAAGAAGAACCUGUGUGGCCUGGAGGUCGGAGAUUCGAGUCGUUCCGCUAUGCGCGCCGUCUUCCCUCGACCGGACGGCAGGCCGCAAGCGCUACUGGACGUUGCUGGGAAGAGGAAGAAACCCCUGCCGAGGGGCGUCACUGCGCCGUCUCCAUUGUAGAGUGGCUCUGUCGACUGGCGCAAAGCGGUACGCUUCAUUUAAAAAUCUCAAAGGCAUUUGGUAAGAAUCUCAAGCUGGGUACAAAUGCAACGGAUGAUGCAGUUCCCGACACCAGGCCGAGGAAGGAGGGGCCGAGAGAGUCGGGGGCUCGUUGGUCUAGGGGUAUGAUUCUCGCUUCGGGUGCGAGAGGUCCCGGGUUCAAAUCCCGGACGAGCCCGCCCAGCUCCCUGCUUGGCUGUGUCAGUUGAGCUCUCGAAAGUGUACUGGCAGCAAGAGUGUUGCGGGAAGGUUCAGCAUGGGCCAAGGGGCUUGCAGGAAGGCUCUUGCUGAGGAGGGGAAAGAUCCCUGGUAGAGCAGGCCAGGCUGGUCCUCCUGUAUGUGUGUGGAAGCAGUGCCUUCUUCCUGGCACCUCAGGAGUCAACCAGCUGCUCCCUCCAUGCAGGAGGAAGCUUUAAGGCUUGUUCUGAUGCUGCUUUCCAGCAUGUCAGAAGGUGGCAAGAUGGAUUCUGGAGCUGCAUUUUGCUUGUGCUCCUCCUGAAUUUGCACACUUAAGCUUGCUUGCACUUCCACAGGAGUGCUGGUAGCAGUGGUGUUCCUGCCUGGCUCAGUCAGUAGUGUGCAAGAGUCUUAAGCUGAGGGUCAUGGGCUCAAGCCACGGUCUGGGAAACUGUUUUUCAUUAAAGGUGCCUGGGGGAGGUUCUCUUUUGCAGUGUGAGCCCUGCAACCUGGCGUGGGAAGAAAUGCGGCUUUCCCUCUUCGACAACAAACGCCUCGUGAAAUUUGCAGGGUUCCUUCGCAAGCCGACGAAAUCCACGGGGGACGCAAACUGUCCCCAUCUACAUGAGGAAGGCUCGCAUGGCGUCAGCGCUUUCCUGGCUCUGAUCAAGGGUUAUGCAGCUGCUGACAAUAGCACCAGUUGCUGGGCCUGUACUCAUGUGCCAAAAUCAGUGUCAUCUGGACUACCACUCAUGCCUUUACCCCUAGGGUUUUGUGGAUGGAG
ensembl:lncRNA